CCAUCCCACCCCACCAGCCCAAUCUCUGACAACAUCCAGAGAUUCAUUUUCCAUCAUGUGCUUGGUCGGGGAAGUUUUGGAAAGGAAACAGCAAUGGUCGGCCAUCCCACCCCACCAGCCCAAUCUCUGACAACAUCCAGAGAUUCAUUUUCCAUCAUGUGCUUGGUCGGGGAAGUUUUGGAAAGGAAACAGCAAUGGUCGGCCAUCCCACCCCACCAGCCCAAUCUCUGACAACAUCCAGAGAUUCAUUUUCCAUCAUGUGCUUGGU